rnacentral:rRNA from 1 species
GGUCAGGACGAACGCUGGCGGCGUGCCUAACACAUGCAAGUCGAGCGAGGAGAUCCUCGGGAUGAUCCUAGCGGCGGACGGGUGAGUAACACGUGGGCAACCUGCCUCAUAGAGAGGAAUAGCCUUCCGAAAGGGAGAUUAAUACCUCAUAACAUUGCAGUUUCGCAUGGAACAGCAAUUAAAGGAGCAAUCCGCUAUGAGAUGGGCCCGCGGCGCAUUAGCUAGUUGGUGAGGUAACGGCUCACCAAGGCGACGAUGCGUAGCCGACCUGAGAGGGUGAUCGGCCACAUUGGGACUGAGACACGGCCCAGACUCCUACGGGAGGCAGCAGUGGGGAAUAUUGCACAAUGGGGGAAACCCUGAUGCCAGCAACGCCGCGUGAGUGAUGACGGCCUUCGGGUUGUAAAGCUCUGUCUUCAGGGACGAUAAUGACGGUACCUGAGGAGGAAGCCACGGCUAACUACGUGCCAGCCGCCGC